rnacentral:rRNA from 1 species
GAAUCUACUGGAAGUAGGACCAAAGAGGGUGAUAGUCCCGUAUAGGUAAGUUAAGUUAUUGAUAGUGGUAUCCUGAGUAGUGCGGGGCACGUGAAACCUUGCAUGAAUUCGCCGGGACCAUCCGGUAAGGCUAAAUACUCCUGAGAGACCGAUAGUGAACCAGUACCGUGAGGGAAAGGUGAAAAGAACCCUGAAUAAGGGAGUGAAAUAGAUCCUGAAACCAUACGCUUACAAGCGGUCGGAGCAGACUUGAUCUGUGACGGCGUGCCUUUUGCAUAAUGAGCCUACGAGUUACCGUUACUAGCAUGGUUAAUCGAUUCAGUCGAGGAUCCGAAGCGAAAGCGAGUCUGAAUAGGGCGAAUAAGUUAGUAGUGGUAGACGCGAAACCGAGUGAUCUACCCAUGAGCAGGUUGAAGCUUUGUUAACCCAAAGUGGAGGACCGAACCCGUUGACGUUGAAAAGUCUUGGGAUGACUUGUGGGUAGGGGUGAAAGGCCAAUCAAACUCGGAAAUAGCUCGUACUCCCCGAAAUGCAUUUAGGUGCAGCGUUGUAAAAGUUAUAUAGAGGUAGAGCUACUGAUUGGAUGCGGGGGCUUCACCGCCUACCAAUUCCUGACAAACUCCGAAUGCUAUAUAAUGAUUUACAGCAGUGAGGGCAUGGGUGCUAAGGUCCAUGUCCGAGAGGGAAAGAACCCGGACCAUCAGCUAAGGUCCCCAAGUGUAUACUAAGUUGAAUAAACGAGGUUUGACUGCCCAGACAGCUAGGAUGUUGGCUUGGAAGCAGCCAUUCAUUUAAAGAGUGCGUAACAGCUCACUAGUCGAGCGGUCAAGCAUGGAUAAUAAUCGGGCAUAAGUAUACCACCGAAGCUAUGGCUUCAUACGUAAGUAUGAGGGGUAGGGGAGCAUUCUAUGGGCGUUGAAGGUGAACUGCGAGGUUUGCUGGAGCGUAUAGAAAAGAAAAUGUAGGCAUAAGUAACGACAAUGCGGGCGAGAAACCCGCACACCGAAAGACUAAGGUUUCCUCAGCUAUGCUAAUCAGCUGAGGGUUAGUCGGGACCUAACGCGAACCCGAAAGGGGUAGUGGAUGGACAACCAGUUAAUAUUCUGGUACCUGCCGGCGCUAAACGUGACGGAGGGGAGUAGUUAUUGCGUACUGACGGAAUAGUACGUUGAAGCAACCGUUAAGGUUGUGAUAGUACACCAAGGCUUCGGCUGCGGUGAUAAUAUAGCGAAUCCACUUCCAAGAAAAGCAAGCCAGGCAGCCCGUACCGCAAACCGACACAGGUAGUUGGGAUGAGAAUUCUAAGGUGCUCGAGAGAUUCAUGGCUAAGGAACUAGGCAAAAUCGGCCCGUAACUUCGGGAGAAGGGUCGCCAGCAGUAAUGCUGGCCGCAGUGAAGAGAUCCAGGCGACUGUUUAUCAAAAACACAGGACUCUGCUAAGUUGAAAGACGAUGUAUAGGGUCUGACACCUGCCCGGUGCCGGAAGGUUAAGUGGAGAUGUUAGCUUCGGCGAAGCAUUGAAAUGAAGCCCCGGUAAACGGCGGCCGUAACUAUAACGGUCCUAAGGUAGCGAAAUUCCUUGUCGGGUAAGUUCCGACCUGCACGAAUGGUGUAACGAUCUGGACACUGUCUCAGCCAUGAGCUCGGUGAAAUUGUAGUAUCGGUGAAGAUGCCGAUUACCCGCUACGGGACGAAAAGACCCCGUGCACCUUUACUAUAGCUUCGUAUUGACCUUGGAUAAGUAAUGUGUAGGAUAGGUGGGAGACAUUGAAGCGGCGUCGCCAGGCGUUGUGGAGUCAUUGUUGAAAUACCACCCUUUGCUUAUCUAGGGCCUAAUCCCCAACGGGAAACAGUGCGUGGUGGGUAGUUUGACUGGGGUGGUCGCCUCCAAAAGAGUAACGGAGGCUUCUAAAGGUACCCUCAGCACGCUUGGUAACCGUGCGUAGAGUGCAAUGGCAUAAGGGUGCUUGACUGAGAGACCUACAAGUCGAUCAGGUUGGAAACAAGAGCAUAGUGAUCCGGUGGUUCCGUAUGGAAGGGCCAUCGCUCAAAGGAUAAAAGGUACGCCGGGGAUAACAGGCUGAUCUCCCCCAAGAGCUCACAUCGACGGGGGGGUUUGGCACCUCGAUGUCGGCUCGUCACAUCCUGGGGCUGGAGA